AACCUGCCCAAUGAAUUUUUGAAUGGCCGCAGUAUUUUGACUGUGCAAAGGUAGCAUAAUCAUUAGUUUCUUAAUUAGAAACUGGAAUGAAAGGUUGGACGAAAAAAUAACUGUCUCUUUAUAAAUUUUUUAGAAUUUUAUUUUUAAGUUAAAAAGCUUAAAUUUUUUUAAAAGACGAGAAGACCCUAUAGAGUUUUAUAUAAUUUUGAAUAAUAAUUUAUAUAGAAUUUUUAAAAUAUUAAUUUUAAUUAUAUUUAAUUGGGGUGAUUGAAAAAUUUAAUUAACUUUUUUUUAAUUAAAACAUUAAUUUAUGAUUUAUUGAUCCAUUUUUAUGAUUAUAAGAUUAAAUUACCUUAGGGAUAACAGCGUUAUUUCUUUGAAGAGUUCAAAUCGAUAAAGAAGUUUGCGACCUCGAUGUUGGAUUAAAAUUAAAUUUUGGUGUAGAAGCUAAAAUUUUAGGUCUGUUCGACCUUUAAAAUUUUACAUGAUCUGAGUUUAAACCGGUGUGAGCCAGGUUGGUUUCUAUCUUUAAAAAUAUAAUAUGUUUUAGUACGAAAGGACCAAAUAUAUAUAAAAUUUAU
rnacentral:rRNA from 1 species